GACAGAGGUGCCAAGCGUUAGGCGGAAUCACUGGGCUUAAAGCGUGUGUAGGCGGAAUUGUAAGUACCUUGUGAAAUCCCACGGCUCAACCGUGGAACUGCUCGGUAUACUGCUUUUCUUGAGCCACUUAGGGGCUGUCGGAACAAACGGUGGAGCGGUGAAAUGCGUAGAUAUCAGGAGGAACACCGAUGGCGAAGGCAGAUCUCUGGGCCGUUACUGACGCUGAGGAGCGAAAGCGUGGGGAGCGAACAGG
rnacentral:rRNA from 1 species